UGGGGAAUUUUGGACAAUGGGCGAAAGCCUGAUCCAGCAAUGCCGCGUGCAGGAUGAAGGCCUUCGGGUUGUAAACUGCUUUUGUACGGAACGAAAAAGCUUCUCCUAAUACGAGAGGCCCAUGACGGUACCGUAAGAAUAAGCACCGGCUAACUACGUGCCAGCAGCCGCGGUAAUACGUAGGGUGCAAGCGUUAAUCGGAAUUACUGGGCGUAAAGCGUGCGCAGGCGGUUAUGUAAGACAGAUGUGAAAUCCCCGGGCUCAACCUGGGAACCGCAUUUGGGACUGCAUGGCUAGAGUACGGUAGAGGGGGAUGGAAUUCCGCGUGUAGCAGUGAAAUGCGUAAAUAUGCGGAGGAACACCGAUGGCGAAGGCAAUCCCCUGGACCUGUACUGACGCUCAUGCACGAAAGCGUGGGGAGCAAACA
rnacentral:rRNA from 1 species